rnacentral:rRNA from 1 species
AUUAUUUUUUUAGAUUAUUUUUUAUUGUUGAAAAAAAUAAAAACAAAUUGUUUUUUACCAUAAUUAAAAUUUAUAAUUUUUCAAUUUUUAAUUUUUAGUUUUAAAUAAAAAUUACAAAUA